rfam:Candidate division Zixibacteria bacterium RBG_16_48_11 RBG_16_scaffold_48170, whole genome shotgun sequence.
UGGGGCGUAGCCAAGUUGGCAAGGCACAAGACUUUGGAUCUUGCAUCCCAGGUUCGAAUCCUGGCGCCCCAG